rnacentral:rRNA from 1 species
GCCGCGGUAUUUUGACCGUGCAAAGGUAGCGCAAUCACUUGUCUCUUAAAUAGAGACCUGUAUGAAUGGCUAGACGAGGGCUUAACUGUCUCCCCCUUCCAGUCAGUGAAAUUGAUCUAUCCGUGCAGAAGCGGGUAUAAUUAUACAAGACGAGAAGACCCUUUGGAGCUUAAGGUACAAAGUUCAACCACGUUAAACGACUCCACAGAAAGCAAGAACUUAGUGGCAAAUGAAACUUUACCUUCGGUUGGGGCGACCACGGAGGAAAAGAAAGCCUCCGAGUGGACUGGGUUAAAUCCCCAAAGCCAAGAGAUACAUCUAUAAGCCGCAGAACAUCUGACCAAAAAUGAUCCGGCUGAGAAGCCGAUCGACGAACCAAGUUACCCUAGGGAUAACAGCGCAAUCCUCUCCCAGAGUCCAUAUCGACGAGGGGGUUUACGACCUCGAUGUUGGAUCAGGACAUCCUAAUGGUGCAGCCGCUAUUAAGGGUUCGUUUGUUCAACGAUUAAAGUCCUACGUGAUCU